rnacentral:rRNA from 1 species
UGGGGAAUAUUGGACAAUGGGGGGAACCCUGAUCCAGCCAUGCCGCGUGUGUGAAGAAGGUCUUCGGAUUGUAAAGCACUUUAAGUUGGGAGGAAGGGCAGUAAGCGAAUACCUUGCUGUUUUGACGUUACCGACAGAAUAAGCACCGGCUAACUCUGUGCCAGCAGCCGCGGUAAUACAGAGGGUGCAAGCGUUAAUCGGAAUUACUGGGCGUAAAGCGCGCGUAGGUGGUUCGUUAAGUUGAAUGUGAAAGCCCCGGGCUCAACCUGGGAACUGCAUCCAAAACUGGCGAGAUAGAGUAGGGCAGAGGGUGGUGGAAUUUCCUGUGUAGCGGUGAAAUGCGUAGAUAUAGGAAGGAACACCAGUGGCGAAGGCGACCACCUGGGCUCAUACUGACACUGAGGUGCGAAAGCGUGGGGAGCAAACAGG